rnacentral:lncRNA from 1 species
AUGUAAAUACAUAAUUAUGCAUGCUAGAAGCUCAUGUAUGACUUUUGUGAUGAUGGAAUGAUAAAUUGUUAGAUUGAUUAGCAUUGUAGUAUUGUGAUACAUGUUGAACUCGUUAAGCGAUUGACACGUGAAUAGAAGUGUGAUUAGUGAUGCGUAUGAUUACGUAUACUAACUAUUGAAUGGAUGUAAUGGAAUGAGAUAAUAGGAACGUGUCAAGGAGAGCUCAAGCAUAGGAGGAUAACGGGUCAAGAUAAGGCAAGGUGACAAAUACACUUAUUGGAGUACUCAAGGUUAUGAAUGUCGGACUUUCGAAGUGUUGAUAUAAUAAUGAAACGGUUGAAUGUUGAAAGGAUAAUCGGAUUGAAGUAACUUAUGCGGUUAGAAUAUGCUAUGGACGUUUUAGUUUAUACAACAUUUUAUGUUUGGUCGUCAUCAUCUACCAACGGGUAAAUCCUCAAUUCAGGCGACUUGGAGAAUCGGAGCGAGCGCGUGUUCAUGUUAUGUCAUACCAAACGCUUCCGCUAGCUUGUUCAAAUGUUUUUAGUCCAAAAUUUGUUGUAUUGGUUCUUAGUAGUAUUUUGUCGAAUGAAUCGUAGAAUUGUAUCUAGUUUGAUUAUGUUUAAAACAGGGGAAUGCUCGUUUUAUGGACGGGUCAUGCCCAAUUUUUGUUAAAUUAAUGCACCUGCGUUAUUGAUA